ensembl:ncRNA C09B7.12 ncRNA
AACUAAAACUAAUAAAGAUCUCACUGGGGGUCUUUUGGGAGCGCAGCGUUUCGCGUCAUUAACUGAUCAUGCACUGCGGCGGAAGAAUGCACAAAUGUUGGCAAUAAAUAAUCAUUAAUGUUCCUGCGUUCGACGAUCAGAUAACACGGCAAAAACGAGUUGAGCCAGAAGCUCUCUUCUUGUUCCGAAAAGAAGUUCUCGCAG